rnacentral:rRNA from 1 species
UCCGGCAGUGGCGGACGGGUGAGUAACGCGUAGGUAUCUAUCCUCGGGUGGGGGACAACUGUGGGAAACUACAGCUAAUACCGCAUGAUGACCCCGGCUGUGGUGGCCGGGGUCCAAAGGCGCAAGUCGCCCGGGGCGGAGCCUGCGUACGAUUAGCUGGUUGGUGGGGUAAAGGCCUACCAAGGCGACGAUCGUUAGCUGGUCUGAGAGGAUGAUCAGCCACAUUGGGACUGAGACACGGCCCAAACUCCUACGGGAGGCAGCAGUGGGGAAUAUUGGACAAUGGGCGCAAGCCUGAUCCAGCAAUGCCGCGUGUGUGAAGAAGGUCUUCGGA